rnacentral:rRNA from 1 species
GACGAACGCUGGCGGCGUGCUUAACACAUGCAAGUCGAACGGAAAGGCUCCAGCUUGCUGGAGUACUCGAGUGGCGAACGGGUGAGUAACACGUGGGUAAUCUGCCCUGCACUCUGGGAUAAGCCUGGGAAACUGGGUCUAAUACUGGAUAUGACCUUUCUCCUUAUGGGGUUUGGUGGAAAGUUUUUCGGUGUAGGAUGAGCCCGCGGCCUAUCAGCUUGUUGGUGGGGUGAUGGCCUACCAAGGCGACGACGGGUAGCCGGCCUGAGAGGGUGACCGGCCACAUUGGGACUGAGAUACGGCCCAGACUCCUACGGGGGGCAGCAGUGGGGAAUAUUGCACAAUGGGCGGAAGCCUGAUGCAGCGACGCCGCGUGAGGGAUGACGGCCUUCGGGUUGUAAACCUCUUUCAGCAGGGACGAAGCGUAAGUGACGGUACCUGCAGAAGAAGCACCGGCUAACUAUGUG